GAACGGCAGCACAGUCGUAGCAAUACGAUGGGUGGCGAGUGGCGGACGGGUGAGUAAUGUAUCGGGACCUACCCAGACGUGGGGGAUAACGUAGGGAAACUUACGCUAAUACCGCAUACGUCCUACGGGAGAAAGCGGGGGAUCUUCGGACCUCGCGCGGUUGGACGGACCGAUGUGCGAUUAGCUAGUUGGUAGGGUAAUGGCCUACCAAGGCGACGAUCGCUAGCUGGUCUGAGAGGAUGAUCAGCCACACUGGAACUGAGACACGGUCCAGACUCCUACGGGAGGCAGCAGUGGGGAAUAUUGGACAAUGGGCGCAAGCCUGAUCCAGCAAUGCCGCGUGUGUGAAGAAGGCCCUCGGGUUGUAAAGCACUUUUAUCAGGAACGAAAUACCACGGGUCAAUACCCUGUGGGGCUGA
rnacentral:rRNA from 1 species